rnacentral:lncRNA from 1 species
UGGGAUUGACUACUCCAAGAGUUGGAGAAGAAUGAGUCACUGUAUUUCAAUUUAGCAAAAUCAUGGCCAGGAUAAUCCAUCAGAUGGAUUUGAUAUUUUGAAAUAUAAUGUGGACAACCUGAUCAGAGUUGAUAGUUGAACUCUAAGGUAUCCUAUGAUCAUUUUGGUUAAGGAGAUGAAUUAUAUGGAAACUAUAUCCAC